GGCGGUGUAGCUCAGGUGGUUAGAGCACACGGCUCAUACCCGUGGUGUCCGGGGUUCGAAUCCCUGCACCGCCACCA
rnacentral:tRNA from 1 species